rnacentral:tRNA from 1 species
UUUUGACUUUAAUAUAAUUUAUUGUAAAUAAAUUUUUUAUUGUCAAAUG